rnacentral:rRNA from 1 species
UGUAGUCAUAUGCUUGUCUCAAAGAUUAAGCCAUACAUGUCUAAGUAUAAGCAAUUUAUACAGUGAAACUGCGAAUGGCUCAUUAAAUCAGUUAUCGUUUAUUUGAUAGUACCUUUACUACUAGGUCAUAACCGUGGUAAUUCUAGAGCUAAUACUUGCUAACAAUCCCGACUUCUGGAAGGGAUGUAUUUAUUAGAUAAAAAAUCAAUGCCUUCGGGCUCUUUGAUGAUUCAUAAUAACUUUUCGAAUCGCAUGGCUUUUUGCCGGCGAUGGUUCAUUCAAAUUUCUGCCCUAUCAACUUUCGAUGGUAGGAUAGUGGCCUACCAUGGUUUCAACGGGUAACGGGGAAUG